rnacentral:lncRNA from 1 species
GCACAAACGGCUGCGGUUGGGCUUGAGAAGACUGGGGAGGGUGAACCUGGGCAGGAUGCUGCUGAUACUGUGGCACCUGCACAUUGUGUUGUGAAUGAGGUUGCAUCGGAUAGGGCUGAGGAUAUGGCGGAGGCUGAGUAGGUGGCUGAGCAUGAGAAGCCGGAAAUAUUUGUGAUGGAAUUUGGGUAUGAGACUGCCCAGUAGGUGGAAGCUGCUGCUGUGGGUUGACUUGAACCUGGUUUUGAUGUUGCUGAGCCACAGCUUGAACCUGUGGUUGAGUUGGCCCUUUAGGUAGAGCUUGCAUUUGAGGUUGAAUUUGAGGUUGAGGUAGAGGAUUCAAUGGUUGCGGCUGG